rnacentral:tRNA from 1 species
GUCUCGGUAGCGUAAAUGAUAGAGCACGGUGCCUGGAAAGCACAAGUACGGGUUCGAGUCUCAUCCGGGACU